CACGCCGUAAACGUUGAGAACUAAGUGUUGGGGAGACCCAGUGCUGAAGCUAACGCAUUAAGUUCUCCGCCUGAGGAGUACGCACGCAAGUGUAAAACUUAAAGGAAUUGACGGGAGCCCGCACAAGCAGUGGAGCAUGUGGUUUAAUUCGAGGCUACGCGAAGAACCUUACCAGGGCUUGACAGGAAACUUAAGACCCUAGAGAUAGGGGGAUAAUAAGUGAAACAGGUGG
rnacentral:rRNA from 1 species